AACGAACGCUGGCGGCGUGCUUAACACAUGCAAGUCGAACGGACCUUUCGGGGUUAGUGGCGGACGGGUGAGUAACACGUGGGAACGUGCCUUUAGGUUCGGAAUAGCUCCUGGAAACGGGUGGUAAUGCCGAAUGUGCCCUUAGGGGGAAAGAUUUAUCGCCUUUAGAGCGGCCCGCGUCUGAUUAGCUAGUUGGUGCGGUAAUGGCCCACCAAGGCUACGAUCAGUAGCUGGUCUGAGAGGCUGACCAGCCACAUUGGGACUGAGACACGGCCCAAACUCCUACGGGAGGCAGCAGUGGGGAAUCUUGCGCAAUGGGCGAAAGCCUGACGCAGCCAUGCCGCGUGGAUGAUGAAGGUCUUAGGAUGGUAAAAUCCUUUCACCGGUGAAGAUAAUGACUGUAGCCGGAGAAGAAGCCCCGGCUAACUUCGUAUCAGCCGCCGCCGUAA
rnacentral:rRNA from 1 species